rnacentral:lncRNA from 1 species
GGGAGGCCCCCUUUUUAUAGAUACAUGGAGUAAAUCAUGGCCAUCCGAUUAAAAAUAGUUUGGACGCUCAGGAUUGCGCCACGUCAUAAGUCAACAGUCCACGGUUUGACCACGUGGAUGAACAGUAACACGGUUUGACCCGGAUGAACAGUAACGCGGUUUGGUUGAAAAUAAUCCUGUGUGAUGCAUGCACCGUACACGAGAUUUUUCGUCCACUGAUAUGCUGCCACGUCACCAUCAACAGUACAUAAGAAUUUUAGCCCAACAGGAUCGUGACACCUCAUCAGUCAAUGCCACAUCAUCGGUCAAUGCCAC